UUUACUUCUCAACAGGUAAUCACGUUCUUUGGCGCAGGCGCAGAGGCAGGGGACUCAGGCAGUCCUUAGAGAAUGAACCACGAUUGGUCCAAGCCAACCGCUGUUAGACUCCUGCGCUCAGUGGAAGUGAUGAUUCUGGCAAUCCAGGGCUCAAAGUGGCUUGCCGUCUGAGAAAGAUCCACAAGAGAGAACAUUGCUGCUCUGACCAACUUCCAUGCUGAUUCUGGAGUGGCCCAGCGAGGACCCUGCAAAUGCCUUCUGACCUGGGCCGUGGAAGGGAGACGAUACAACGGCAGUGGAGAACUCAAGGUCAGGUUUGAGCUCCUGCCUCCACUGUGUGAGUGCCGAGUUCUCCGCGUCUGUGAUUCUCCAUCCCACGAUCCCGGAGGCUCAAUCACCAUUAGCCGGGCUGUGUGUAGUAGGCGACUCUGACCCACGAGAGACAGUGCCCUCCGGUAUUUGGGCUCAUUCUGUCGGAAAAGCUGCCGGGGUGCUCUGACAACCUGAGGAGUGAUGUCAGAUUUAAUUUGGCUGCAAGGGCUUUGCAAACCUGAGGUGCGACAUAUUCCAGAACCUGAGUAACUGUUGUUGUUAUUGUCCUUUCCCCGAGAUUACAGCUUCGCAAGCAUUGUUUACGACCUUGGGUCUAGUCCCUAUGCCCCAGUGAAGGAUGACUGGUUGGCUGUGUUGACACUGAUGUCCCAUGAUUCUCUGAGGGUGAAGACUUCAGAACAAGGAAGGGGAAGGAAAGGAAUCAAAAACAUCUCACCUUAUAUGUAGUCUGGGUACAAUUUAAAUACCCACAUGUGUUGUCCCCCUUGUCACCUAACUGGCACAACAGUGAUGAGGUCACAUGCUUGUGUCUCUGUAUUAACUGCAAUGGUUUUUUUUUUUUUCUUCUGCAAGUAUGAGAUAUCCCAACUUGAGACCAUGUGACGGAGAAGCCCAGAGAGUGGGAGAGCUUCAGGCACAUCUGGAUCCAGGUGUUCAUAUCACGGAAUGAGGAUGCAGUCUCCAAGUUUUCACUUCAUCUUAGCUGAAAGGUGGAGAAGAAAUCAGCUGCUGUUUAUUUUUCCCGUGUGGAACCCAGGGCCUCACACAUGGUAGGAAGUGCUCUACCACUGAGCCCCAGGCAUGUGUUUGACUGUUUAAUGAGAUUGAGUCUUAUUAAUUUCAUGGGCAGGCCUUGAGCAUUCAGUCUCUCAUCUCGGCCUCCCAAGUAGCUGGGAUGAUAGGCCUGCACCACACAGCCUGACUAAUCUCCAGUUUUAAUUUUACUUGUGCCUGGUUUUGAACUCUACACUGGGAGAUCCUUCCAGCUUUCCAGAAUUACUAACUGUUGAGCCAACAGUUCCAACUCCAUGCAAAGACAGCUCAUUUUUCUCAAGAACACCAACAGACCUUUGGUGAAUUCCAGGACAGGCAGGACUACAGAGAGAAACUUUGUUCCAAAAAACUGACAACAACAAAAAGUCAAGGAAAUGGUCCUGGGCUUAAAUUAGGUGAUUUCUGUAAAAUGAGGUGAAUACAGAGAGCAUGUGUACAAGUCACAAGCACUUAGUUGAUUGUUCUUUGUUAUAAUAAUCCAUCAGUUAAUAUUACAUUUCUUAGGUUGUUUUUUGUUUGGUUUGCUCUGACUUUUGGUUUUUUUGAGUCAGGGUUUCUUUGUGUAGCCCUGGCUGUCUUGGAACUCACUCAGUAGACCUGGCUGGCCUCA